UACGUAGGGUGCAAGCGUUGUUCGGAAUCAUUGGGCGUAAAGCGCGUGUAGGCGGUUUGUUAAGUCGAGUGUGAAAUCCCUGGGCUCAACCGAGGAAGUGCAUUCGAAACUAACUGGCUAGAAGACGGUAGAGGAAGGUGGAAUUCCAAGUGUAGAGGUGAAAAUUCGUAGAUAUUUGGAGGAAUACCGGUGGCGAAGGCGGCCUCUGGACCGAUCUUGACGCUGAGACGCGAAAGCGUGGGGAGGCAAACAGGA
rnacentral:rRNA from 1 species